GAUGAACGCUGGCGGCGUGCUUAACACAUGCAAGUCGAACGGAAAGGCCCAAGCUUGCUUGGGUACUCGAGUGGCGAACGGGUGAGUAACACGUGGGUGAUCUGCCCUGCACUUCGGGAUAAGCCUGGGAAACUGGGUCUAAUACCGGAUAGGACCACAUUUUGGAUGGUGUGGUGGAAAGUUUUUCGGUGGGGGAUGGGCUCGCGGCCUAUCAGCUUGUUGGUGGGGUAAUGGCCUACCAAGGCGUCGACGGGUAGCCGGCCUGAGAGGGUGUACGGCCACAUUGGGACUGAGAUACGGCCCAGACUCCUACGGGAGGCAGCAGUGGGGAAUAUUGCACAAUGGGCGCAAGCCUGAUGCAGCGACGCCGCGUGGGGGAUGACGGCCUUCGGGUUGUAAACUCCUUUCGCUAGGGACGAAGCGUUUUUGUGACGGUACCUGGAGAAGAAGCACCGGCUAACUACG
rnacentral:rRNA from 1 species